UGUAAGCGUAUAUCAAAGUUGUUGCAGUUAAAACGCUCGUAGUCGGAAUUUGGCAGUUCCGGAUGUGUGCACGUCGUGUGCGCACUUCGCGGGGAUUGCUUUUGUGGUCUUGCGUAGGAUGAGGCACUUUUAUUAGUGAACGUCCUCACGCAACCACUUUUUACUGUGAGAAAAUCAGAGUGCUCAAAGCAGGCAUUUGCCGUGAAUGUAUUAGCAUGGAAUAAUAGAAUAGGACUUGGUUCUAUUUUGUUGGUUUGUUGGGACUGAGUAAUGAUUAAGAGGGACAGUUGGGGGCAUUUGUAUUUCGGUGCUAGAGGUGAAAUUCUUAGAUUACCGAAAGACAAACUGCUGCGAAAGCGUCUGCCAAGGAUGUUUUCAUUGA
rnacentral:rRNA from 1 species